AACGAACGCUGGCGGCAUGCCUAACACAUGCAAGUCGAACGAGAUCUUCGGGUCUAGUGGCGCACGGGUGCGUAACGCGUGGGAAUCUGCCCUUUGGUUCGGAAUAACAGUUGGAAACGACUGCUAAUACCGGAUGAUGACGAAAGUCCAAAGAUUUAUCGCCAGAGGAUGAGCCCGCGUAGGAUUAGCUAGUUGGUGGGGUAAAGGCGCACCAAGGCGACGAUCCUUAGCUGGUCUGAGAGGAUGAUCAGCCACACUGGGACUGAGACACGGCCCAGAGUCCUACGGGAGGCAGCAGUGGGGAAUAUUGGACAAUGGGCGAAAGCCUGAUCCAGCAAUGCCGCGUGAGUGAUGAAGGCCUUAGGGUUGUAAAGCUCUUUUACCCGGGAUGAUAAUGACAGGACCGGGAGAAUAAGCUCCGGCUAACUCCGUGCCAGCCGCCGCGGUAA
rnacentral:rRNA from 1 species